rnacentral:rRNA from 1 species
CCAGACUCCUACGGGAGGCAGCAGUGAGGAAUAUUGGUCAAUGGGCGCGAGCCUGAACCAGCCAAGUCGCGUGAGGGAUGACGGCCCUACGGGUUGUAAACCUCUUUUGUCGGGGAGCAAAUUCCGUUACGUGUAACGGAGUCGAGAGUACCCGAAGAAAAAGCAUCGGCUAACUCCGUGCCAGCAGCCGCGGUAAUACGGAGGAUGCGAGCGUUAUCCGGAUUUAUUGGGUUUAAAGGGUGCGUAGGCGGCGGUAAAGGCAGGGGUAAAAUGGGGGGGCCACACCCCCCCCCCGCCGUUGAAACUGACGGUCUUGAGUGGGCGAGAAGUAUGCGGAAUGCGUGGUGUAGCGGUGAAAUGCAUAGAUAUCACGCAGAACUCCGAUUGCGAAGGCAGCAUACCGGCGCCCAACUGACGCUGAAGCACGAAAGCGUGGGUAUCGAACAGGAUUAGAUACCCGCGUAC